GUACUUACUUGGCAAGGGAGAUACCGUGAUCACAAAGGUGGUUUUCCCAGGGCGAGGCUGAUCCAUUGCUCUCCAGAUGUGCUGACCCCUGAGAUUUCCCCAAACGUGGGAAACUCGACUGCGUCAUUUGUGGUACUGGGGGACUAUGUUCACACUUUCCCCUG